CCACCGGCAGUAUUGGUUGUAAUUGUUGUGGGUGAACAGUGCUAGCAUGAUUCACCAAUCAAUGUUUAUGAUGAUAUAAUUAGUGAACAUCCUUUGAUGAUCUCUUACAUUUGUUCAUGGUGCUAUGUGAAGUAAUCUAGGCUUGUCUAGGAGCCUUCUGAGUCAUCAGAUAGGAACAGUAACUGCAAUUGUUAUUCAGGCUUAUUUGGAUUCACUGCACACUACGUGAUGGAGAAAGACUUACAGAGGGCUCAGGGGGAAGAAGUUAGUGGGAGAGGUUUGCCUCUUGUCCAUGAAACUGGAGAUGAUCUUCAAGUUACUUAUCAGGAAGUGGAAGGAACAAGAGAACUCAACUAUCAGCAGACCAUAGAAGUUCAGCAUGUUACUCAUCAUCAGACAUUUGAAACAGAGCAUCUCCAGCAGCGAUCAGUUGAUGUUCAGCAGGUUCAACAGUUUUCUACCCAACAUUCUUAUGAAGCACAAAAUAUUACCCACAAGCAUUCAUUUAGUACAGAGGAAAAUUCUCAACAGCAGUUGUAUAGCAUUCAGGAUGGGGUUAUUCAUCAUCUUGAUGAAGCAGAUCAAAAUCAGAUUAUUCACCAACAGUUAGUUGAGGUUCAGCAAAUUACUCAGCCCAUUGAAAAAAAUCAAAUUAUUGAUACUGUCCUUACUUCUCAGAGUCCCCAAGAAGGAAAGCAGAUUCCUCAAGCAGGAUUGCAUAUUGUAAAGCACACUACUACUGAGGAGGUUUCAGGGGGGAUACGUCAUGUAAAACAAUAUACAGUUGAUAGUCAGGAAAGCUUUCAAUUAGAGUACAAUACUCAAGAAAAACAAAUUGAUCAUGGCAACUCCACCAUUAUCACUGGAAAACAGACUGGUGAUGAGAAAGAUGGCUCAUGGCAUGAUGCUUUAAAAGGUGCCUGGGAGCAAAGCUUUGGUCAGAUUGGUGGCAGUGAACAGAUAUUGGACAAGUAUGGGAAAGAAAUGUCAGUUGAAAAAAUAUCUGGCACUGUUGCAAAUGGAAAAGGAGAUGCAAACAUUGCAGAAUUUACUGAAGACAAGCAGUAUAAUUUUAAUGGUAAAGAUGUUGCUGAUGGAGAUUCAGAAAAUCCUUUUCGAGAAACCUGUCAAGGAACAGAGUGGAAGGAAAGUAUUACACAGUGGGAGGAUUCAGCCACAGAGAGUGUCACAGCUGGAAAAGUCCGAGAGGGGUUUACUAGGGCAUCUGGAAGAUCAGCUUCACAGUCAUCUAGUGAAUGUUCUUUAGAUGCUAUGAGCUCUCCCAAAAGUUGUGACAAAGGUGCAGUUUUUAAGUUUUCACACUGGACACCUGGUCGAACUCAGUCUGUCCGUCAAAUCAAGGUUCGUACGCAAGAUGUUCGUCGGACAACAAGCGUUGGAGGGGAAAAUGAACCUUGGUAUUCUACAAUGGAACAUCAUAUCAGAGUCUUAAAAGAUGAGAGAGAGAGCGUGCAGAAGAAGACUUUCAUGAAAUGGGUGAAUUCCCACCUGGUACGAGUGAACGCACGUAUAGGAGACCUAUAUGUGGACUUACGAGAUGGAAAGCAGCUCAUCAAACUCCUGGAAAUUCUUUCAGGAGAGAGAUUGCCACGACCGACCAAAGGAAAGAUGCGAAUUCACUGCUUGGAAAAUGUAGACAAAGCUCUCCAGUUCCUUCGUGAUCAGCGAGUCCACUUGGAGAACAUGGGUUCCCAUGAUAUUGUGGAUGGCAAUGCUCGCCUCACACUUGGUCUUAUCUGGACUAUCAUCCUUCGCUUCCAGAUCCAAGACAUCACCAUUGAGGAGACUGAGAACCAAGAGACCAAGAGUGCUAAGGAUGCUUUACUCCUUUGGUGCCAGAUGAAGACAGCUGGUUAUCAUAAUGUUAACAUCAGGAACUUUACCACCUCAUGGAGGGAUGGUUUAGCCUUCAAUGCCAUCAUUCACAAGCACAGGCCCGACUUGAUUCAGUAUGAGAAAUUGUCACGAUCAAAUGCAAUGUACAACCUCAAUAAUGCCUUCAAUGUUGCAGAAAAUAAGUUAGGUCUCACCAAACUGUUGGAUGCUGAGGAUGUCUUUGUUGAACAGCCUGAUGAGAAGUCAAUUAUCACCUAUGUUGUCACCUACUACCACUACUUCUCCAAACUCAAGCAGGAGACAGUCCAGGGCAAACGUAUUGGCAAGGUUGUAGGCAUUGCAAUGGAGAAUGACAGAAUGAUUAAGGAAUACGAGAGUCUUACUUCAGAUUUACUGAAGUGGAUUGAAGUCACUAUUGAAUCCCUAAAUGACAGAGUCUUCACCAACUCGCUUACUGGUGUACAAGCGCAGCUCACACAAUUCAAUACUUACCGUACUGUGGAGAAACCACCAAAAUUCGUUGAGAAGGGCAACCUGGAGGUGCUGCUCUUCACUCUCCAAUCCAAAAUGAGAGCCAAUAACCAGAAACCCUAUUUGCCAAAGGAGGGCAAGAUGAUUAGUGACAUCAACAAGGCCUGGGAACGCCUGGAGAAGGCUGAGCAUGAACGUGAGUUGGCACUGAGAGAGGAACUCAUUCGUCAAGAGAAGCUUGCACAACUCGCUGCUAGGUUCAACCGUAAGGCUGGCAUGAGAGAGACCUGGUUGUCUGAGAACCAGAGAUUGGUUUCCCAGGAUAACUUUGGUUUUGAUCUGGCUGCUGUGGAAGCUGCAGCAAAGAAGCACGAAGCCAUUGAGACAGACAUAUUUGCUUAUGAGGAGCGUGUACAGGCAGUAGUCUCAGUUGCUAAUGAGCUGGAAGCAGAACGUUAUCAUGAUAUCGAACGUAUCAAUGCUAGGAAAGACAACGUGCUACGCCUCUGGAACUACCUGCUUGAGCUUCUCAGGCUGCGCCGUAUGAGGCUUGAACUGUCUCUACAGUUGCAACAGAACUUCCAGGAAAUGAUGUAUAUCUUGGACUCCAUGGAAGACAUGAAGCUCCGUCUCCUGAGUGAAGACUAUGGAAAACAUCUCAUGGGUGUGGAGGACUUGUUACAGAAGCACUCUCUGCUGGAGGCUGACAUCAAUGUCUUGGGUGAACGUGUCAAGACAGUAAUUGAACAUUCUCAGCGGUUCCUUGAUGAUGAACAGGUUGAAGGAUAUCGUCCAUGUGACCCAUCUAUUGUGCUGGAGCGUGUGCAACAACUUGAAGAUGCCUAUGGUGAGCUUGUCAAGUUGGCUGUCGAGAGGCGUCUCCGUCUGGAAGAGUCACGCAAAUUGUGGCAGUUCUACUGGGACAUGGCAGAGGAAGAAAACUGGAUCAAGGAGAAGGAACAGAUUCUCUCCACAUCAGACAUUGGGCAUGAUCUCAUUACUGUGAACUUGCUCUUGACUAAACACAAAACAGUUGAAGAAGAGUUGUUGUCACAUGAGCCACAACUCAAGGCAGUUGUCAAGAGUGGAGAAGAGCUUAUUGCUCAGCAACACUUUGGCUCUGAUAAGAUUCAGGAAAGAAUUGACGAAAUUAUGACCAUGUGGACUUCCCUUACAGAGAGAUCAGCCAACCGUAAGAAGAGGCUGACUGAUGCUGUAGACCUGCAUCAAUUCUACACAGAAGCCGAUGAUGUUGAUACCUGGAUGUUGGACAUUUUGCGACUGGUAUCAAGCGAAGAUACUGGCAGGGAUGAAGCCACUGUGCAGUCUCUCUUGAAGAAACACAAGGAUGUUACUGAUGAGCUGAAGAACUAUGCUAGCACAAUUGAACAGUUGCACCAACAGGCAUCAGAGCUCAAUGAGGUUGACAGAGAAUCACCUGUGGUCAUCGAAAGAUUGGCAUCGAUUGACCGUAGAUACAAAGAAUUGCUUGAACUGGCUAAGGUGCGCAAGCAGAGAUUGCUGGAUGCUCUGUCACUGUAUAAAUUGUUCACAGAGGCAGAUGGUGUUGAACAAUGGAUUGCAGAAAAGGAGCGCAUGCUUCUUACCAUGGUACCAGCUAAGGAUAUUGAAGACUGUGAGAUCAUGAAGCACAGAUAUGAAGGAUUUGAACAAGAAAUGAAUGCCAAUGCUAGUCGAGUAGCAGUUGUGAACCAGCUGGCUCGUCAGUUGUUGCACGUUGAGCAUCCUAACUCGGAGGACAUCAUUGCCCGUCAGAACCAGCUAAACCAACGGUGGGCUGAGCUCAGAGAAAAGGCAGAAAGCAAGCGUGAAGAACUCAGCUCUGCCCAUGGUGUUCAAACAUUCCAUAUUGAAUGUAGAGAAACAGUUCUUUGGAUUGAAGAUAAGAAACGUGUGUUGAUGGAAACUGCUGACCUAGGCACAGAUCUCAGUGGCAUCAUGACACUCCAGCGUCGUCUGUCUGGCAUGGAAAGAGAUCUGGCAGCUAUUCAGGCUAAACUUGAUGCCCUUGAGGGUGAAGCAGAUAAGAUCAGCCAAGAUCAUCCAGAAGAGGCUGAGCUCAUCCGUGAGCGCAUUGAACAGAUCCGUUCAGUGUGGGACCAACUCACUCAGCUUCUCAAGGAGCGUGAUGCUAAACUUGAAGAGGCUGGUGAUCUUCAUCGGUUCUUGAGAGAUUUGGACCACUUCCAGUCAUGGUUAACAAAGACAAUGACAGAUGUGGCAUCAGAAGAUAUUCCUUCAAAUCUUGCAGAAGCAGAGAAGCUGCUGAGCCAGCACCAGUCCAUUCGCGAGGAGAUUGAUAAUUACACAUUAGACUAUAUUAAGAUGAUGGAGUAUGGUGAACGUAUUACAGCGGAAGAUGUUACGCCAGCAGAUGAUGCACAGUACAUGUUCUUGAGAGAGAGACUGAAGGCCCUCAAGGAUGGAUGGGCAGAGUUGCACCAGAUGUGGGAGAACAGACAGGAACUUCUGUCACAGUCCCUUAACUUACAGAUGUUCUUGCGUGAUGCCAAGCAGGGAGAGGUUCUCCUCAGUCAACAGGAACAUUACCUUAGCAAGGAUGAGACUCCAACCAAUUUGGAACAGGCAGAGAACCUUAUCAAGAGGCAUGAGGCAUUCCUUACUACCAUGGAAGCUAAUGAUGAGAAGAUCAAUGGUAUCUGCCAGUUUGCUCAGAGAUUACUUGAUGAAGAACAUUUUGCUGCUGACAAAAUUCAGAAAAAGGCAGAAAAUAUUGAAGAACGCCGACAGCAGAAUAGAGAUCGCGCCAUGGAACAGAUGGAACGCCUACGGGACCAACUCCAAGUCCAUCAGUUCCUUCAAGAUUGUGAAGAACUUAAUGAUUGGGUACAAGAGAAACAUAUCAUUGCUCAAGAUGAGAGCUACCGAUCAGCUAAGACAGUUCACAGUAAAUGGACUCGACACCAGGCCUUUGAAGCAGAAAUUGCAAGUAAUAAAGACAGAUUGGUUAGAGUACAAGAAGCUGGAGAAGUGCUGGUAAAAGAAAAGCCCGAAAUGGCUGAACUAAUUGGACCAAAGAUCUCGGAAUUAAAUCAACACUUCGAUGCCCUAGAAACCACCACCAAAGAAAAGGGAGAACGACUCUUUGAUGCUAACAGACAGGUGCUUUAUGAACAGACAUGUGAUGACAUUGACACCUGGAUGACAGAUCUUGAGAAGCAGAUUGAAGGUGGAGACACUGGAAUGGAUCUGACAUCUGUAAACAUUCUUAUGCAGAAGCAACAAAUGAUUGAGACACAGAUGGCUGUUAAGGCCAAGCAGGUUGAACAACUGGAGAGCCAGGCAGACUACCUGCAGCGCAUGACACCUGAGAAGACAGAGGAGAUCAAACAAAUGAAGUCAAAAGUGGAAGCCAAAUUUGAGUCUCUUAAAGCUCCUCUUGUUGAACGCAAUGUGUUGUUAGCCAAGAAGAAAGAGGCAUACCAGUUCAGGAGAGAUGUUGAGGAUGAGAAGCUCUGGAUUUUAGAGAAAAUGCCUCUAGCAACAAGCCCUGAUUAUGGCAACUCCCUGUUCACCGUCCACAUGCUAAAGAAGAAACUCCAGUCCCUAAGUACAGAGAUUGAUAACCACGAACCUAGAAUUAAUUUAGUUUGUGACAAUGGUAGGAAGCUCAUUGAAGAGGGACAUGUGGAUGCUGAAGAAUUCCAGAAACUGCUCGAGGAUCUGCUCGAUCACUGGACCAAACUCAAAGAUGCUAUGGAACACAGGCGAUCGAAACUCCUGGUGUCUGAGAAAGCACAACAGUACCUCUUCGAUGCAGGUGAAGCUGAGGUAUGGAUGAGUGAGCAAGAGUUAUACAUGAUGGUAGAGGACAGAGGCAAGGAUGAAAUCUCCGCACAGAACCUAAUGAAGAAACACCAAACUCUAGAAAACUCUGUUGAUGACUAUGCUGAGACGAUAAGACAACUAGGAGAGACAGCUAGACAUCUCAUCAAUGAAGGCCAUCCUGACAGUGAACAGAUUGGUAUCCGACAAUCCCAAAUUGAUAAGUUGUAUGCAGGCCUGAGAGAUCUGGCAGUUGAGCGCCGCAGUAAGUUGGAUGAAGCUCUCAAAUUGUUCAUGCUUAACCGUGAGGUUGAUGACUUGGAACAAUGGAUUGCUGAGAGGGAAGUGGUUGCAGGAUCUCAUGAACUUGGACAAGAUUAUGAACAUGUCACGAUGCUACGAGACAGAUUUAAGGAAUUCGCUCGUGAUACAGAGGCAACUGGAACAGAACGUGUUGCAGCUGUUAACGAGAUUGCUGAUCAACUCAUAUCAGCUGGCCAUUCUGAUGCAGCAACGAUAGCAGAAUGGAAGGAUGGCUUGAAUGAAUCUUGGGCUGACCUCCUAGAGUUGAUUGAGACACGCACCCAGAUGUUGGCAGCUUCAUGGGAACUCCACAAAUUCUUCCAUGAUUGCAAGGAUGUUCUUAGCCGAAUUUUGGAGAAACAGAACAGUAUCUCGGAUGAGCUUGGCCGUGAUGCAGGUUCAGUAUCUGCACUACAGAGGAAACAUCAGAACUUCGUGCAGGAUCUGGUCAUGUUGAAACAACAGGUGGAACAAAUUCAAGAAGACUCUUCCAAGCUGCAAGCUGCUUAUGCUGGUGAUAAGGCGAGAGAGAUCACAAACAGAGAAGCUGAGGUUGUGUCUGCAUGGUUGAACAUGCAAGGAAUGUGUGAGGAUCGUCGUGUCAAACUCAAUGACACUAGUGACUUGUUCAAAUUCUUCAAUAUGGUGCGCACACUUAUCCUCUGGAUGGAUGAUGUUAUUCGGCAGAUGAACACUACAGAAAAGCCAAGGGAUGUUAGUGGUGUAGAAUUACUAAUGAAUAACCAUCAGAGCCUGAAAGCGGAAAUUGAUGCUCGAGAAGACAACUUCAAUGUGUGUGUAUCACUCGGAAAAGAACUUCUCUCUCGCAACCACUAUGCUUCAGGAGAGAUUAAAGACAAGUUGAUGUCUUUGAGUAACCAACGCAACAACAUGCUUCAGCGCUGGGAGGAACGAUGGGAACAUUUGCAGCUCAUUCUGGAGGUGUACCAGUUUGCUCGUGAUGCUUCAGUUGCUGAACAGUGGCUCAUGGCACAGGAACCAUACCUAACUUCGACAGAACUUGGAGUAAGUUCUAUUGAUGAACUUAUGAAUUGGUUGAUGAUGAGGUCAAUUGAUGAUGUGGAAAAUCUCAUCAAAAAGCACGAAGCCUUUGAGAAGGCGUGUUCAGCUCAGGAGGAACGGUUUGCUGCGCUUGAGAGGUUAACAACGCUAGAAGCCAUAGCAAAAACAGAUUCUCCGAAGCCAUCAGAUGCCUUGGGUGAUGGGAGUAGCAUAGACGUUCUUCCUUCCUUCAACUGUUUCAUCUCCCUUCCUCCCUAUUCCCCAAGACCACCCAACAUGCGUCGUCAUUCCUUACCCACCCCUGUACAUGCUUUCUUUACAGCAUUUUCAUGUCCUGCACUCACAGAAAUACAAGCCAGCAAACACAGCUUUCCAAUAAGAUUGUCGUCUGAGAUUUCAUUAGUUAAGAUGUAUCCUAAAGGAUCUUUGAAGCGUCAAAGAAGGAGACUGAAUUCAAGCUCAAACCCACAACUCUCUCAGACCAUCCACAUAAAAGAUUCAGACACUGAUAACCUCUUUGCAGAAAUGCGUAAUCAGAGAUGUAAUUAUUACACAGACCGACCUGUUAGUGAUCCAGUAGGGAAUUCAGUAAUGAUUAGUUCAAAAGUUUCAUCAGUUGACAGCCCAUUCACCUCUCCGAGUGUCGGUAAUGAUAGAAAUGAUAAGAAAUCAGGUGGUAUGAUUUUACUAGAGGAACCUCAAAAAGACUGGGAUUGUAAGUCAUCAAGUUCAGUUGGUGAGUUCGUAAGUCUAGAUCAUUAUGAAGCUCCCUAUUUGGAAGAGUCUUUGUAUAGAAUAACAGAAUUUUGUUUCUCUAAAGAGAAUGAACAUCAGGAUGUUGGUUUUGAAAGCACUGAUAAUGUUGUUUUAAGGGUGCCUGAAGGUGAAAGUGGAGAUGAAAAUUGUCAGAGAUUAGGGAGACGUCAGGUAUACAGUUUUGCUGAUAAUGUGAGAGAUAGUGCAACCCUCCCUCCAAUAUAUGAAAUGGAGGGGGAAGGCCUUGAUGUCACAGAACUUAGCAACCCUUCAGGUUCUGUAGAGUUUUGGAGUUAUGAAAGUCUCUUAGAUGAUAAAACAGAUAUAGUUAAUAAUUCCACUGAUGCCCAAAGGAAUUCAGAGAGAGAAAAGGUUUUGUCCCAUGCUCAGUAUUGUGGAGAUAAUGAUUCCAUAAUGAGUUAUUAUCCAGUUAUUCCUUGUAAUGGCUUAAAAGACACGGUGCGUAAUGUGGACCAUCUUAUAGCUAGGCUAGAUGGUGUCUCUGUACAGGGGUGCCCCUCUCCUGCAUCUCCUUUUCCUCUAACACCUCCAAACACUUGUGAUUCCUCCCCUAAACUCACUAAUGGUAAACACACUCCAAGAAAUAACCUGCAUGCACUCUCUCAGGUGAAGUUUGAGUUGAAAGAACUCAAGAGGAAAGAAGAGGAGGAGGAAGAGGAACGACGAAGACAAGAGGAAUUGGCAAGACAAGCAGCGGCUCCUCCUCCUCAGUCACCUGACCAACCGACGGAUGGAGUUGAUGGUGCGGGAGAUGACUCGCAUGUUAAUGGUGAAGAACACGAUGAAUCACGAGAAGAGCAUGAAGAGGGUGCUGCAGUGAAGGGGGGAAGUGCACCUGGCACCCCUCGGCCCCCCUCCACUCCCGUCACCCCGACCCCAACAGCGGCUGCAGUCAGAGCCCGUCCGGGCUCGGCGACUCUCCCACCCCAGUCGUCGAUUUCACCCCUCGCCUCGACCCCUACUCCUGCUAGUAAGGAGUCGCGACGGAGGGUGCGUUCUAGGUCCAAGUCCCCCUUCCGUUCUUUCCGCUGGAAGAAAACCAAGCAAUCUCCAUCCGAAGCACCGGGUAGUGCAUCUGACGAUGAGUCCAAUCUGGAGAGGGCAGCAGAACGGCCGAGUCCCAGUGGAGACGAAGAUCAGCUGGAAGGCAGUCUGGUUCGCAAGCAUGAAUGGGAGUCCACUACAAAGAAGGCAUCCAACAGGUCCUGGGAUAAGGUAUUUGUGGUGCUACGUGGCAACAUGAUUUUCUUCUAUAAAGAUCGCAAGAGUUACCAGGCUGCCCCCGAAGUUUUCUUCAGAGCGGAAGCCCCUGUUGAUGUCUCUGGGGGAACAGCAUCUGUGGCAGAUGACUACACAAAGAAGAAGCAUGUCAUGCGACUCAAGCUUGUUGGUGGUGCUGAGUACCUGUUCCAAGCCAAAGAUGAAGAGGAGUUGGCCGUAUGGGUAGGAGCUCUUCAAGCUGCAGUGUCCUCAGAAGGAUCAGCUGGGCCUUCUCGCUCUCAGACAUUGCCUGCUGGCUCAGAGAAGAAAGACGAGCCAAAACGUCGCAGCUUCUUCACCCUCAAGAAGAAAUAAAUAAACUCUAAAAUUUGCCCCCUCCUACUUUCCCCAUCCCAGAUGUAUAUCUCCCCUCCCCUCAUCUCGUUUCACUCUCUCUUCCCCAUGUGAUCUUCUCUCCCUCUACAUCCUCUUCAGGAAACAUUAACCCCCACCUCUCCCUUUUGCCCUCCAAAAGCAACUAUCCUAGAUCCUCCCGAGCCUAAUUUCGGACCCAGUGUGAAACUUAUUCUUGUGGGAGUUAGAAAGCUAGCGCUGGUUGGGUACAUGUUGUUGGCUGCUGUCUUUAAAUGCCGCUGGGAUUGGAAAGGAAAAACAAAAUCUGCUAUAUAAGCCAUCAUAAGCUUCUCUUUAUGCAGUAACUCCCAGGCUGGGUCUGAAUAGUCACAUGAUUAGGACUUGUUCUUAAUAUAUAUUUUUUUGUGCAUAUUCCCCCCCCUCUAUCUCCCUCUUUUAACAUACCUUUCCCUUUGCUGGGAUUUGAGUUGUGUAGAUGGUACCAUACAUGGUAUUACUGUUAUUAUUUUUUUUCCCCUAAGGAAUAUAAACUGUUAACAGUUUUGUGUAAUAGCUCUGGUGGAAGGACAUGCGAGUCUGUGCAGUUCCCAAUUCUUGUCUGCCUAGCACUGCCACGGCUGAGUUUUCCGAUUAGUGUUCCUCUAUGUGUAGAGGAUUGUGUGUGGAAAUGUAUAUUAAGUGUUUUGUCAUUUGUCACUUACUUUAUCCAAGUAAUGAUUUGUUAAUUUUUAUCAGUCUUUAGCUGUAGUAUCACAUUUUCAUUAGAUAGCACUAAUUGUACUGUACAGAAAUAAUAGAAUCAUACCUAUUAUGCUGCUUUGUGCUUACAUUUUUAGAGAUAUGAUAUUUCAUGUACCACUUCAUAGUCGUUCAAAUCAUUACCAGAGUAUGGAAGGCCAGCCAGUACCAUAAUUCUUGUGAAUGGGCAAAUACAUGCUGCUUUAAAAUGUAUGUGUGGCACAGUUAUAACCAUUUAUAUCCCAUAAACCUUUAAUCCUAAAUGGUCAUAUCCUACUAAAUCAAGUUCACAAGUUUGCUGUCUCUACUUUCAAAAACCAAAAAAUGCCAAAAAAAGGACUGAAGACCUGCAGAAUGAUGUGCUAAGACUGGCCACCCUCUACCAGACGGCCAAUGUGCCCUUGUGGUCAAGAUGAACACGGCCUGACCCAGAGAUGCUUUGUUACCCUGGUACUUGGUAGCUGGCCGCUGCUUGUCUUGUCAAGUCUUGCUAUACACAGUGAAGUUUGCUACUGUGAACAUGGAUAAUAAUUUCUGGUGGUCAUCUGUUGUUCCUGAUACUGAUUCUGUAAGAUUUUGUUUUAAUGAAGAAAUUAUUUUUCAGCAUUAUUGAAACCGGUAUAUUCAUUGUCUGUAUAUACCAUUUCUGAAUAAUUAGUUGAAAAUUGUUUCUCUUAAAAAGUGCUCCACAUGGAGAUCAAUAAAUUUUUAUCUUUUAUUUGAAUUUCUUUCUUUUAAUAAGGUGUUGAGAUUCAGAUUGGGUCAAGUGUCAGUUUAUGUUUUGUUUUCAUAUCAUUUGUGUAGAUUUUUUACAUUCUGAACCAUUACAUGGAACUGUUGCUUUAUAUAUUUUAUUCUGUACUGUAAGGGAGAGGACUAGUUUUCACAUGGUGUAUUCUUCUGAAAAAUAUAUUGAUACCAACUAGUA